rnacentral:misc_RNA from 1 species
AACAUCGCGCACCUGCGGGAACCUGCGGAGGGAUCAUUACCGAGUUUACAACUCCCAAACCCCUGUGAACAUACCAAUUGUUGCCUCGGCGGAUCAGCCCGCUCCCGGUAAAACGGGACGGCCCGCCAGAGGACCCCUAAACUCUGUUUCUAUAUGUAACUUCUGAGUAAAACCAUAAAUAAAUCAAAACUUUCAGCAAUGGAUCU